GGUGCAGGAUGAGUGCAAGACAGAGUAAAAACUCCCAGGUAUUUAACUUAUCUGACUUUCAGAAGUGUUACCACCUGAAAUGAAGAAUACUGGAGGAAAACUCGUCCAGGUAUGAGGUGUGCAGCGUGUGGAGGUGGGGGUGCCUAUGGAACCUCAAGCCAACAGAAGCUGUCUAGCAGGAUGUUUCACAGGAAAACAUGCUGUGAAUCUUUUGCAGAAGACCUUUCUACUCUUAUCAACAGAUGAUUGAUAAAAUCUUAUUUGUUCAAUGACUGGAAAGACAUGGAUCUUGGAUUUUAAGUUCCUGGUUUGAUAAGCGCUGUGUGAAAAGGAGGAAAAAACAACAGCAACAAACUUCGAUUGAGUCCUAUCAUCAAAUAUCUGAGUUUGUCAAUCACAGUGCCUUGACUUCUAGAAGACUCGUUUAACUAAGGAUAAAACGUAUCUAAUGCUACCUGCUGGUGCUGGAUGACAGAAAUUCUAUGGUGCUUGCCUAUUUCAGGAGAGUUCCACUUUCAAGAUGCCGGUGUGAAGAGUUCUGUGGACCUGAUCUCCAGGGAAACAAGCAAAAGUAGUGAAAACUAUAGGACAUCAUCCAACUACUUAAAGUGUCUGGAAAAAAAACAUUAGGGUACACAGCAAAGAAGCAAAGGCAGAAACAUGUAUUCAGUCAAAGCUACUGAAGUCCAGAAAGAUGCUGUAUGUGAGCAUCGGUGGUAUUCAAGCCAUAGCACACCUCCCCUUUCUUCCCCCUUCUAGUUCAGGUUCACAGAAGCUUCAUCCGGGGUGGGCAUGGCCAAGAAGAUGGGCCUCCUUGACCCCUCAGCUCCAAUCAAAGCUUACUUUAUCACAUUCCAGGGACAAUCACCAGCAUUCCUCAUUCCCUCCAGCUACGAGCUGAAGAGGUAAAAUUCCUGAGAGAGAGAGAGAGAAAGAGAGAGAGCGUGCGUGCCUGUGAGCAGGGGGAGGGG